rnacentral:rRNA from 1 species
AUGAACGCUGGCGGCGUGCCUAAUACAUGCCAGUCGAGCGAACGGACGAGAAGCUUGCUUCUCUGAUGUUAGCGGCGGACGGGUGAGUAACACGUGGAUAACCUACCUAUAAGACUGGGGUAACUUCGGGAAACCGGAGCUAAUACCGGAUGAUAUUUUGAACCGCAUGGUUCAAAAGUGAAAGACGGUCUUGCUGUCACUUAUAGAUGGAUCCGCGCUGCAUUAGCUAGUUGGUAAGGUAACGGCUUACCAAGGCAACGAUGCAUAGCCGACCUGAGAGGGUGAUCGGCCACACUGGAACUGAGACACGGUCCAGACUCCUACGGGAGGCAGCAGUAGGGAAUCUUCCGCAAUGGGCGAAAGCCUGACGGAGCAACGCCGCGUGAGUGAUGAAGGUCUUCGGAUCGUAAAACUCUGUUAUUAGGGAAGAACAUAUGUGUAAGUAACUGUGCACAUCUUGACGGUACCUAAUCAGAAAGCCACGGCUAACUACGUG